rnacentral:rRNA from 1 species
GUGACCCCAGGAUGGGCGGGG